CCAAUGGUGGCCUGGGCAGGAGGGGGACUAUGAGCCAGCAGUGUGCUUUGGUGGCCAAGAAGGUCAAUGGUGGCCUGAACAGGAGGACCACGAGCCAACACUGUACUUUGGUGGCCAAGAAGGUUGAUGGUGGCCAAGGCAAGAGGACCAUGAGCCAGCAGUGUGCUUUGGUGGCCAAGAAGGUCAAUGGUGGCCUGGGAAGGAGGACCACGAGCCAGCAGUGUGCUUUGGUGGCCAAGAAGGCCAAUGGUGGCCUGGGAAGGAGGACCAUGAGACUGCACUGUGCUUUGGUAGCCAAGAAGGCCAAUGGUGGCCUGGGCAGGAGGACCAUGAGACAGCAGUGUGCUUUGGUGGCCAAGAAGGCCAAUGGUGGCCUGGGGUGCAUUGGAAGAGGGGUGGGUGGGAGGUCCAGAGAGGUUCUCCUGCCCCUCUGCCCUGCCCUGGGGAGGCCACCUCUGGAUUCCUGUGUCCACAUGGGGGUCCCUCCGUGCUGAGGAGGUGGUGAAGGCAGCAGAGCAUCUCCGUGCUGAGGAAGGGCAGAGGGGAGUGGGGGCUCUUUCGUUUGGAGAGAGGGGGAGACGGAGGGGUGACCCCAUUGGUGCUGACAGAUCCACCUACUCUGCAGGUGGAUCGGAACGGGUGAUCUUCAAGGACCCUUCCAAUCCCUGAUGCGAUUCUGUGCUACAACCCCGUGCCACGUGGAGCCCCCCACGCUGUGUCUCAACGCAGACCCCCAGACCCCAUCCCAG
ensembl:lncRNA